UAUGCCGUUUUAUUGUUAUUGAAGCAACUCCGUGAUGGUGCUGGAAAUUGAAUAUUGUGGGCAUCAGGUUAUUUAUUUCCUCGUUUCCGUUUGUAUGUGAGCAAGUGCUGAUCUAAAAAAUGGUUGAUGAGUAAACCAAGAUAAUUUUGGAAGAUUGGGGUGUUUGCAGUUAAUUGGACUUGUUGCAGGGCAAUCUCUGCACAGAGGAAGAAAGUUUAGUUUUUUUUUUUGUGGAUGCAGAGAUUUUCCUUAAAAAAUCAAAUAUCAUCACUGCUUUUUUCUGUAAUUUUUUCCUGCUGCACCAUAUUCAAUGCCUCAGUAACUGGCAGUCACACAGAAAUUCAUCCAGAAGCGCAUGUUGAAAAUGAACCUACAUUAUGUCAUUAAGUUUUAUUUUUAUAAAUGGAUCUUAAUUCAUAAAUAUUGUAUUUAGUUAAUAAAUUAAAAAAAAAUAACUGGA